rnacentral:rRNA from 1 species
ACGGCUCAGUAACACGUAGUCAACAUGCCCAAGGGACGUGGAUAGCCUCGGGAAACUGAGGAUAAACCGCGAUAGGCCAAGAUUUCUGGAAUGGAUCAUGGCUGAAAUCUAUAUGGCCCUUGGAUUGGACUGCGGCCGAUCAGGCUGUUGGUGAGGUAAUGGCCCACCAAACCUAUAACCGGUACGGGCUCUGAGAGAAGGAGCCCGGAGAUGGGCACUGAGACAAGGGCCCAGGCCCUAUGGGGCGCAGCAGGCGCGAAAACUCUGCAAUAGGCGAAAGCUUGACAGGGUUACUCUGAGUGAUGCCCGCUAAGGGCAUCUUUUGGUACCUCUAAAAAUGGUGCAGAAUAAGGGGUGGGCAAGUCUGGUGUCAGCCGCCGCGGUAAUACCAGCACCCCGAGUGGUCGGGACGAUUAUUGGGCCUAAAGCAUCCGUAGCUUGUCUUGCAAGUCUUCCGUUAAAUCCACCUGCUCAACAGAUGGGCUGCGGGAGAUACUACAGGGCUAGGAGGCGGGAGAGGCAAGCGGUACUCAGUGGGUAGGGGUAAAAUCCUCUGAUCCACUGAAGACCACCAAUGGCGAAGGCGGCUUGCCAGAACGCGCUCGACGGUGAGGGAUGAAAGCUGGGGGAGCAAACCGGAUUAGAUACCCGGGUAGUCCCAGCUGUAAACGAUGCAGACUCGGUGAUGGGUUGGCUUCGGGCCAACCCAGUGCCGCAGGGAAGCCGUUAAGUCUGCCGCCUGGGGAGUACGGUCGCAAGACUGAAACUUAAAGGAAUUGGCGGGGGAG